rnacentral:rRNA from 1 species
UACGAAGGGGGCUAGCGUUGCUCGGAAUUACUGGGCGUAAAGCGCACGUAGGCGGAUCGUUAAGUCGGGGGUGAAAUCCUGGAGCUCAACUCCAGAACUGCCUUCGAUACUGGCGAUCUCGAGUUCGGGAGAGGUGAGUGGAACUGCGAGUGUAGAGGUGAAAUUCGUAGAUAUUCGCAAGAACACCAGUGGCGAAGGCGGCUUACUGGUCCGGUUCUGACGCUGAGGCGCGAAAGCGUGGGGAGCAAACAGG